UGCAAGUCGAGCGCAAGGAAAUCGUACGGAACCCUUCGGGGGGAAGUCGACGGAAUGAGCGGCGGACGGGUGAGUAACACGUAAAGAACCUGCCCUCAGGUCUGGGAUAACCACGAGAAAUCGGGGCUAAUACCGGAUGGGUCAUCGGACCGCAUGGUCCGAGGAUGAAAGGCGCUCCGGCGUCGCCUGGGGAUGGCUUUGCGGUGCAUUAGCUAGUUGGUGGGGUAAUGGCCCACCAAGGCGACGAUGCAUAGCCGACCUGAGAGGGUGAUCGGCCACACUGGGACUGAGACACGGCCCAGACUCCUACGGGAGGCAGCAGUAGGGAAUCUUCCACAAUGGACGAAAGUCUGAUGGAGCAACGCCGCGUGAACGAUGAAGGCCUUCGGGUCGUAAAGUUCUGUUGUAAGGGAAGAACAAGUGCCGCAGGCAAUGGCGGCACCUUGACGGUACCUUGCGAGAAAGCCACGGCUAACUACGUGCCAGCAGCCGCGGUAAUACGUAGGUGGCAAGCGUUGUCCGGAAUUAUUGGGCGUAAAGCGCGCGCAGGCGGCCUCUUAAGUCUGAUGUGAAAGCCCCCGGCUCAACCGGGGAGGGCCAUUGGAAACUGGGAGGCUUGAGUAUAGGAGAGAAGAGUGGAAUUCCACGUGUAGCGGUGAAAUGCGUAGAGAUGUGGAGGAACACCAGUGGCGAAGGCGACUCUUUGGCCUAUAACUGACGCUGAGGCGCGAAAGCGUGGGGAGCAAACAGGAUUAUAUACCCUGGUAGUCCACGCCGUAAACGAUGAGU
rnacentral:rRNA from 1 species